rnacentral:rRNA from 1 species
AACCAUGGUCAUACCAGCACUAAUGCAUAGGAUCCCAUCAGAACUCCGCAGUCAAGCGUGCUUGGGCGAGAGUAGUACUAGGAUGGGUGACCUCCUGGGAAGUCCUCCUGUUGCACCCC